rnacentral:misc_RNA from 1 species
UCCGGGUUGGACCCGGCGGUCCCGCCAGACAUCGUAACUGGCGGCGAGGGUUGCGCUCGUUGCGGGACUUAACCCAACACCUCACGGCACGAGCUGACGACAGCCGUGCAGCACCUGUGCACGCUCCCUUGCGGGUCCUCGGUGUCUCCACCCCGUACCACGUGCAUGUCAAGCCUGGGUAAGGUUCUUCGCGUUGCGUCGAAUUAAACCACACGCUCCGCUGCUUGUGCGGGCCCCCGUCAAUUCCUUUGAGUUUUAGCCUUGCGGCCGUAGUCCCCAGGCGGGGAACUUAUCGCGUUAGCUGAGCCACUCAGGGAUUUAACUCCCCCAAUACCCAGCAUCCAUAGUUUAGGGCGUGGACUAC